UACGUAGGGUGCGAGCGUUAAUCGGAAUUACUGGGCGUAAAGCGUGCGCAGGCGGUUCGUUAAGUUCGUUGUGAAAGCCCCGGGCUCAACCUGGGAACUGCAAUGGAAACUGGCGGGCUUGAGUGUGGCAGAGGGGGGUGGAAUUCCGCGUGUAGCAGUGAAAUGCGUAGAGAUGCGGAGGAACACCGAUGGCGAAGGCAGCCCCCUGGGCCAACACUGACGCUCAUGCACGAAAGCGUGGGGGAGCAAACAGGA
rnacentral:rRNA from 1 species